AGAUUGAACGCUGGCGGCAGGCCUAACACAUGCAAGUCGAGCGGUAGAGAGGUGCUUGCAUCUCUUGAGAGCGGCGGACGGGUGAGUAAUGCCUAGGAAUCUGCCUAGUGGUGGGGGAUAACGUUCGGAACGGACGCUAAUACCGCAUACGUCCUACGGGAGAAAGGCGGGGGACCUUCGGGCCUCGCGCCAUUAGAUGACGCCUAGGUCGGAUUAGCUAGGUUGGUGAAGGUAAUGGCUCACCAAGGCGACGAUCCGUAACUGGUACUGAGGAGGAUGAUCAGUCACACUGAACGUGAAGACGACGGU
rnacentral:rRNA from 1 species